rnacentral:rRNA from 1 species
UACGAAGGGGGCUAGCGUUGCUCGGAAUCACUGGGCGUAAAGCGCACGUAGGCGGCUUCUCAAGUCAGGGGUGAAAUCCUGGAGCUCAACUCCAGAACUGCCUUUGAUACUGAGGGGCUCGAGUCCGGGAGAGGUGAGUGGAACUGCGAGUGUAGAGGUGAAAUUCGUAGAUAUUCGCAAGAACACCAGUGGCGAAGGCGGCUCACUGGCCCGGUACUGACGCUGAGACGCGAAAGCGUGGGGAGCAAACAGG